GGUGGCUCUCUCUUAGAUGACAUUAGUUCCCUUAUAAAUGUGGUCUCAUAUAUCUCUCUAGACCCUUCUAUUCGGUGAGGAUAAGCAGGCUAGCUUCUCACCCGAGUCCUACCCUCUGGCAACCUGAUCUUGAACCCAGCUCCAGAAUUGUGAUGAAUUAAUUUCUGUUGUUCGAGGAACAUUAAAUUUCAGAUGAGGAACAGUCAAACUCAAAUCUUCACAUCACUGAAACUUUCAAAACAAGUUGCAGAUCUCCCAGCAGACUGAGGUUCCAACCUUGGCCUCACAGUGCUUUACAUUGGGCACCCUCAGGAAUGCCCCAGCUCUUAUAAAAUAUAUGAUGGCUUACACCAUAUAGACCUGACUCUGGAAACCCAGCACUGAGAAUGCAGCUGAAAUUGAAUCCAACUCUAACUGGACUGACCUAGUCUCUGGACCAGUGACUACAUCACUGAGGUUGAGCAGAACCAGGUUACUCUCUAGCCAUGGCAAUUGGAUCAAGGAUAUGAGUACAAACC